AUAUCAAUAAGCGGAGGAAAAGAAACUAACAAGGAUUCCCCUAGUAACUGCGAGUGAAGCGGGAAGAGCUCAAAUUUAAAAUCUGGCGGUCUUUGGCCGUCCGAGUUGUAUUCUGGAGAAGUGCUUUCCGCGCUGGACCGUGUAUAAGUCUCUUGGAACAGAGCGUCAUAGAGGGUGAGAAUCCCGUCUUUGACACGGACUACCAGUGCUUUGUGAUGCGCUCUCAAAGAGUCGAGUUGUUUGGGAAUGCAGCUCAAAAUGGGUGGUAAAUUCCAUCUAAAGCUAAAUAUUGGCGAGAGACCGAUAGCGAACAAGUACCGUGAGGGAAAGAUGAAAAGCACUUUGGAAAGAGAGUUAAACAGUACGUGAAAUUGUUGAAAGGGAAACGCUUGAAGUCAGUCGCGUUGGCCGGGACUCAGCCUUGCCUUCCGCUUGGUGUAUUUUCCGGUCGACGGGCCAACAUCGAUUUUGACUGCUGGACAAGGGCUAGUGGAAUGUGGCACCCUCGGGUGUGUUAUAGCCGCUAGUCAUAUACAGCAGACGGGAUCGAGGACCGCAGCUUCGGCUUAGGAUGUUGGCAUAAUGGCUUUAAACGAC
rnacentral:rRNA from 1 species